rnacentral:rRNA from 1 species
AUUGAACGCUGGCGGCAGGCCUAACACAUGCAAGUCGAGCGGCAGCGGGACCUUCGGGUUGCCGGCGAGCGGCGGACGGGUGAGUAAUGCCUAGGAAUCUGCCUGUUAGUGGGGGAUAACGCGGGGAAACUCGCGCUAAUACCGCAUACGUCCUACGGGAGAAAGCGGGGGCUCUUCGGACCUCGCGCUAACAGAUGAGCCUAGGUCGGAUUAGCUAGUUGGUGGGGUAAGGGCCCACCAAGGCGACGAUCCGUAACUGGUCUGAGAGGAUGAUCAGUCACACUGGAACUGGGACACGGUCCAGACUCCUACGGGAGGCAGCAGUGGGGAAUAUUGGACAAUGGGCGAAAGCCUGAUCCAGCCAUGCCGCGUGUGUGAAGAAGGUCUUCGGAUUGUAAAGCACUUUAAGUUGGGAGGAAGGGCUGUAGGCUAAUAUCCUGCAGUUUUGACGUUACCGACAGAAUAAGCACCGGCUAACUUCGUGCCAGCCGCCGCCGUAAAAC